GUCUUUGUAGUAUAUGUCAAUACACUGGUCUUGUAAACCAGCAAAGGAAUUAACCCUCCCCAAGACU